GAUGAACGCUAGCGGCAGGCCUAAUACAUGCAAGUCGAACGAUAGAAGAGGGCUUGCUCUCUUCGAAAGUGGCGCACGGGUGCGUAACGCGUAUGCAACCUACCUUAAUCAGGGGGAUAGCCCGAAGAAAUUCGGAUUAACACCGCAUAAAAUCACAAUACAGCAUUGUACAAUGAUCAAAUAUUUAUAGGAUUAAGAUGGGCAUGCGUGACAUUAGCUAGUUGGCGGGGUAACGGCCCAACAAGGCGACGAUGUCUAGGGGAUCUGAGAGGAUGACCCCCCACACUGGUACUGAGACACGGACCAGACUCCUACGGGAGGCAGCAGUAAGGAAUAUUGGUCAAUGGAGGCAACUCUGAACCAGCCAUGCCGCGUGCAGGAAGACAGCCCUCUGGGUCGUAAACUGCUUUUAUUCGGGAAUAAACCUACUUACGUGUAAGUAGCUGAAUGUACCGAAGGAAUAAGGAUCGGCUAACUCCGUGCCAGCAGCCGCCGUAA
rnacentral:rRNA from 1 species